rnacentral:misc_RNA from 1 species
UUGCUUUAUUUUUGUAUAAGAUUCAGAUGACAAGUUCAAGAGUUUUUAAAAUAUCUUCUGACGGGUCACCCCGCCAAAGAAGCAAAGGUAGGACAAACACAGGGUUAACCGGUACUGCAGGGAUUGCUCCCUUCAGCCGUGACAUUAAUGAUCCUUCCGCAGGUUCACCUACGGAAA